GAUUGAUGAUUCGGCGAGGGCUCCUGCCUAAGUCCCCUGGAACGGGGCGUCAUAGAGGGUGAGAAUCCCGUAUGCGGUAGGUUGCCUUAGCCAUGUGAAUCUCCUUCGACGAGUCGAGUUGUUUGGGAAUGCAGCUCUAAAUGGGAGGUAAAUUUCUUCUAAAGCUAAAUACCGGCCAGAGACCGAUAGCGCACAAGUAGAGUGAUCGAAAGAUGAAAAGCACUUUGGAAAGAGAGUUAAAAAGUACGUGAAAUUGUUGAAAGGGAAGCGCUUGCAACCAGACUUGUCCGCAGUUGCUCAGCCGGUCUCCUGACCGGCGUACUCUUCUGCGGCCAGGCCAGCAUCAGUUCGGGCGGUCGGAUAAAGGCCUCGGGAAUGUGGCUCCUCUCGGGGAGUGUUAUAGCCCGGGGUGCAAUGCGGCCAGCCUGGACUGAGGAACUCGCUUCGGCAAGGAUGCUGGCGUAAUGGUUGUAAGCGGCCCGUCUUGAA
rnacentral:rRNA from 1 species